CCUACGGGGGGCAGCAGUGAGGAAUAUUGGUCAAUGGACGCAAGUCUGAACCAGCCAAGUCGCGUGAAGGAUGAAGGACCUAUGGUUUGUAAACUUCUUUUAUGGGGGAAUAAAGGUAUUCACGUGUGGAUAAUUGCAUGUACCGUAUGAAUAAGGAUCGGCUAACUCCGUGCCAGCAGCCGCGGUAAUACGGAGGAUGCGAGCGUUAUCCGGAUUUAUUGGGUUUAAGGGGUGCGCAGGCUGGUGGUUAAGUCAGUGGUGAAAUGUUGUGGCUCAACCAUAACAUUGCGGGGGAAACUGGAAGACUGGAGUGUGUGUGAGGUAGGCGGAAUGCGUGGUGUAGCGGUGAAAUGCAUAGAUAUCACGCAGAACUCCGAUUGCGAAGGCAGCUUACUAAACCAUAACUGACACUGAGGCACGAAAGCGUGGGUAUCAAACAGGAUUAGAUACCCCUGUAGUC
rnacentral:rRNA from 1 species